rnacentral:rRNA from 1 species
ACGAACGCUGGCGGCGUGCCUAAUACAUGCAAGUCGAACGCUUCUUUUUCCAUCGGAGCUUGCUCCACCGGAAAAAGAGGAGUGGCGAACGGGUGAGUAACACGUGGGUAACCUGCCCAUCAGAAGGGGAUAACACUUGGAAACAGGUGCUAAUACCGUAUAACAAUCGAAACCGCAUGGUUUUGAUUUGAAAGGCGCUUUCGGGUGUCGCUGAUGGAUGGACCCGCGGUGCAUUAGCUAGUUGGUGAGGUAACGGCUCACCAAGGCGACGAUGCAUAGCCGACCUGAGAGGGUGAUCGGCCACAUUGGGACUGAGACACGGCCCAAACUCCUACGGGAGGCAGCAGUAGGGAAUCUUCGGCAAUGGACGAAAGUCUGACCGAGCAACGCCGCGUGAGUGAAGAAGGUUUUCGGAUCGUAAAACUCUGUUGUUAGAGAAGAACAAGGAUGAGAGUAACUGUUCAUCCCUUGACGGUAUCUAACCAGAAAGCCACGGCUAACUACGUGCCAGCAGCCGCGGUAAUACGUAGGUGGCAAGCGUUGUCCGGAUUUAUUGGGCGUAAAGCGAGCGCAGGCGGUUUCUUAAGUCUGAUGUGAAAGCCCCCGGCUCAACCGGGGAGGGUCAUUGGAAACUGGGAGACUUGAGUGCAGAAGAGGAGAGUGGAAUUCCAUGUGUAGCGGUGAAAUGCGUAGAUAUAUGGAGGAACACCAGUGGCGAAGGCGGCUCUCUGGUCUGUAACUGACGCUGAGGCUCGAAAGCGUGGGGAGCAAACAGGAUUAGAUACCCUGGUAGUCCACGCCGUAAACGAUGAGUGCUAAGUGUUGGAGGGUUUCCGCCCUUCAGUGCUGCAGCUAACGCAUUAAGCACUCCGCCUGGGGAGUACGACCGCAAGGUUGAAACUCAAAGGAAUUGACGGGGGCCCGCACAAGCAGUGGAGCAUGUGGUUUAAUUCGAAGCAACGCGAAGAACCUUACCAGGUCUUGACAUCCUUCUGACCACUCCGUAAUGGGAGUCUUCCUUCGGGACAGAAGAGACAGGUGGUGCAUGGUUGUCGUCAGCUCGUGUCGUGAGAUGUUGGGUUAAGUCCCGCAACGAGCGCAACCCUUAUUGUUAGUUGCCAUCAUUUAGUUGGGCACUCUAGCAAGACUGCCGGUGACAAACCGGAGGAAGGUGGGGAUGACGUCAAAUCAUCAUGCCCCUUAUGACCUGGGCUACACACGUGCUACAAUGGGAAGUACAACGAGUCGCAAAGUCGCGAGGCUAAGCUAAUCUCUUAAAGCUUCUCUCAGUUCGGAUUGUAGGCUGCAACUCGCCUACAUGAAGCCGGAAUCGCUAGUAAUCGCGGAUCAGCACGCCGCGGUGAAUACGUUCCCGGGCCUUGUACACACCGCCCGUCACACCACGAGAGUUUGUAACACCCGAAGUCGGUGAGGUAACCUUUUGGAGCCAGCCGCCUAAGGUGGGAUAGAUGAUUGGGGUG